rnacentral:rRNA from 1 species
GGAGUCUGGUCCGUGUCUCAGUACCAGUGUGGGGGACCUUCCUCUCAGAACCCCUACGCAUCGUCGCCUUGGUGGGCCGUUACCCCGCCAACAACCUAAUCAGACGCAUCCCCAUCCCAUAGCGGUGAACCUUUGGUAUUCUUCAGAUGUCAUCAAAAUACAACAUAGAGCAUUAAUCCGACUUUCGCCGGGCUAUUCUCUACUAUGGGGAAGGUUGGAUACGCGUUACUCACCCGUGCGCCGGUCGCCAUCAUCGGUUGCAAGCAACCGACAUGCUGCCCCUCGACUUGCAUGUGUUAAGCCUGUAGCUAGCGUUCAUC